CGUAACAAGGUUUCCGUAGGUGAACCUGCGGAAGGAUC
rnacentral:rRNA from 1 species